rnacentral:rRNA from 1 species
AGAGUUUGAUCCUGGCUCAGGAUGAACGCUGGCGGCGUGCCUAACACAUGCAAGUCGAGCGAUUCUCUUCGGAGAAGAGCGGCGGACGGGUGAGUAACGCGUGGGUAACCUGCCCUGUACACACGGAUAACAUACCGAAAGGUAUGCUAAUACGAGAUAAUAUACUUUUAUCGCAUGGUAGAAGUAUCAAAGCUCCGGCGGUACAGGAUGGACCCGCGUCUGAUUAGCUAGUUGGUAAGGUAACGGCUUACCAAGGCGACGAUCAGUAGCCGACCUGAGAGGGUGAUCGGCCACAUUGGAACUGAGACACGGUCCAAACUCCUACGGGAGGCAGCAGUGGGGAAUAUUGCACAAUGGGCGAAAGCCUGAUGCAGCAACGCCGCGUGAGCGAUGAAGGCCUUCGGGUCGUAAAGCUCUGUCCUCAAGGAAUAUAAUGACGGUACUUGAGGAGGAAGCCCCGGCUAACUACGUGCCAGCAGCCGCGGUAAUACGUAGGGGGCUAGCGUUAUCCGGAAUUACUGGGCGUAAAGGGUGCGUAGGUGGUUUCUUAAGUCAGAGGUGAAAGGCUACGGCUCAACCGUAGUAAGCCUUUGAAACUGGGAAACUUGAGUGCAGGAGAGGAGAGUGGAAUUCCUAGUGUAGCGGUGAAAUGCGUAGAUAUUAGGAGGAACACCAGUUGCGAAGGCGGCUCUCUGGACUGUAACUGACACUGAGGCACGAAAGCGUGGGGAGCAAACAGGAUUAGAUACCCUGGUAGUCCACGCCGUAAACGAUGAGUACUAGCUGUCGGAGGUUACCCCCUUCGGUGGCGCAGCUAACGCAUUAAGUACUCCGCCUGGGAAGUACGCUCGCAAGAGUGAAACUCAAGGAAUUGACGGGGACCCGCAC